GUCGAGAAUAAUUCACAAUGGACGAAAGUCUGAUGGUGCAACGCCGCGUGGAGGAUGACGGUCUUCGGAUUGUAAACUCCUGUCAUCCGGGAGUAAGACCUGGCUGUGAAUAGCAGACAGGGUUGAUAGUACCGGAAGAGGAAGGGACGGCUAACUUCGUGCCAGCAGCCGCGGUAAUACGAAGGUCCCGAGCGUUGUUCGGAAUCACUGGGCGUAAAGGGAGCGUAGGCGGCGUGGUAAGUCAGAUGUGAAAUCCCGGGGCUCAACCCCGGAACUGCAUCCGAUACUGCCGUGCUAGAGGAUUGGAGAGGUAGCCGGAAUUCUUGGUGUAGCAGUGAAAUGCGUGGAGAUCAAGAGGAACACUCGUGGCGAAAGCGAGCUACUGGACAAUAUCUGACGCUGAGGCUCGAAGGCCAGGGUAGCGAAAGGGAUUAGAUACCCCAGUAGUCC
rnacentral:rRNA from 1 species